GAGUUUGAUCAUGGCUCAGGAUGAACGCUAGCGGCAGGCUUAAUACAUGCAAGUCGAGGGGCAGCAGCUUUAUAGCAAUAUAGAGGCUGGCGACCGGCAAACGGGUGCGGAACACGUACACAACCUUCCUUGAAUAGGGGGAUAGCCCAUAGAAACGUGGAUUAAUACCCCGUAAUAUAGCGGUGUGGCAUCACACUGUUAUUAUAGUUUCGGCGAUUCGAGAUGGGUGUGCGGCUGAUUAGGUAGUUGGCGGGGUAAAGGCCCACCAAGCCUUCGAUCAGUAGCUGAUGUGAGAGCAUGAUCAGCCACACGGGCACUGAGACACGGGCCCGACUCCUACGGGAGGCAGCAGUAAGGAAUAUUGGUCAAUGGACGCAAGUCUGAACCAGCCAUGCCGCGUGAAGGAUGAAGGUCCUCUGGAUUGCAAACUUCUUUUAUAGGGGGCGAAAAAAGGUCUUUCUAGAUCACUUGACAGUACCCUAUGAAUAAGCACCGGCUAACUCCGUGCCAGCAGCCGCGGUAAUACGGAGGGUGCAAGCGUUAUCCGGAUUCACUGGGUUUAAAGGGUGCGUAGGCGGGUAGGUAAGUCAGAGGUGAAAUCCUGGAGCUUAACUCCAGAACUGCCUUUGAUACUAUCUAUCUUGAAUAUGGUGGAGGUAAGCGGAAUAUGUCAUGUAGCGGUGAAAUGCAUAGAUAUGACAUAGAACACCUAUUGCGAAGGCAGCUUUACUACGCCUAUAUUGACGCUGAGGCACGAAAGCGUGGGGAUCCAACWGGAUUWRAUACCCUUGGUAGUCCAMGCCCUAAACGAUGAUUACCCGACGUUAUGCGAUACACAGUAUGCGUCUUGAGCGAAGCMUUAAGUAAUCCWCCUKGGGAAAKUACGACCGCAGGGUGGAACUCAAGGAAUUGCSGGGGUYCCCAAGCSKGGRACWGUGGAUUUAAUUCGAKGAUMCSCARGAA
rnacentral:rRNA from 1 species